AGCGAACGUUAGCGGCGGGCCUAACACAUGCAAGUCGAGCGAGAAAGGGGCUUCGGCCCCGAGUAAAGCGGCGGACGGGUGAGGAACACGUAGGUAACCUGCCCUUCGGUGGAGGACAACGGUCCGAAAGGACCGCUAAUACUGCAUCCGUUCCCCGGGACCCCGGUCCUGGGGAGGAAAGCCUCGCAAGGGGCGCCGGAGGAGGGGCCUGCGUCGCAUCAGCUAGUUGGUGGGGUAACGGCCUACCAAGGCGAAGACGCGUAGCUGGUCUGAGAGGAUGAUCAGCCACACUGGGACUGAGACACGGCCCAGACUCCUACGGGAGGCAGCAGUGGGGAAUAUUGGACAAUGGGCGAAAGCCUGAUCCAGCCACGCCGCGUGAGUGAUGAAGGCCUUCGGGUCGUAAAGCUCUGUGGGGAGGGACGAAUUGCCCGUUGGAGAGACGGGAGUGACGGUACCUCCUUAGCAAGCACCGGCUAACUUCGUGCCAGCCGCCGCCGUAAAAC
rnacentral:rRNA from 1 species